rnacentral:rRNA from 1 species
UGGAGGGCAAGUCUGGUGCCAGCAGCCGCGGUAAUUCCAGCUCCAAUAGCGUAUAUUAAAGUUGUUGCAGUUAAAAAGCUCGUAGUUGAAUUUCGGGGUUAGUAGGUUGGUCAUGCCUCUGGUAUGUACUGGUCUCACUGAUUCCUCCUUCCUGAUGAACCGUAAUGCCAUUAAUUUGGUGUUGCGGGGAAUUUGGACUGUUACUUUGAAAAAAUUAGAGUGUUUAAAGCAAGCUAACGCUUGAAUACAUUAGCAUGGAAUAAUGAAAUAGGACGUUCGAUCCUAUUUUGUUGGUUUCUAGGACCGCCGUAAUGAUUAAUAGGGAUAGUCGGGGGCAUCAGUAUUCAAUCGUCAGAGGUGAAAUUCUUGGAUCGAUUGAAGACUAACUACUGCGAAAGCAUUUGCCAAGGAUGUUUUCAUUAAUCAAGAACGAAAGUUAGGGGAUCGAAGACGAUCAGAUACCGUCGUAGUCUUAACCAUAAACUAUGCCGACUAGGGAUCGGAUGAUGUUGAUUUUUUAAUGACUCAUUCGGCGCCUUACGGGAAACA